UACGUAGGGACCAAACGUUGUUCGGAUUUACUGGGCGUAAAGGGCGCGUAGGCGGCAAUUCAAGUCAUCUGUGAAAUCUCCGGGCUUAACCCGGAACGGUCAGAUGAUACUGCUUUGCUAGAGUGCGGAAGGGGCAAUCGGAAUUCUUGGUGUAGCGGUGAAAUGCGUAGAUAUCAAGAGGAACACCUGAGGUGAAGACGGGUUGCUGGGCCGACACUGACGCUGAUAGCGCGAAAGCCAGGGGAGCAAACGGG
rnacentral:rRNA from 1 species